rnacentral:rRNA from 1 species
UACGUAGGUGGCAAGCGUUGUCCGGAAUUAUUGGGCGUAAAGCGCGCGCAGGUGGUUUCUUAAGUCUGAUGUGAAAGCCCACGGCUCAACCAUGGAGGGUCAUUGGAAACUGGGGAACUUGAGUGCAGAAGAGGAAAGUGGAAUUCCAAGUGUAGCGGUGAAAUGCGUAGAGAUUUGGAGGAACACCAGUGGCGAAGGCGACUUUCUGGUCUGUAACUGACACUGAGGCGCGAAAGCGUGGGGAGCGAACAGG